GAAGGGGCUCACAAACGCUUAUUUAAUCCAAUAGAGAGGAUCCAGUUGAUUUCUCUGAUCAUGGAUGAGCAAUGAAACUGGAUUGUAUGAAACUCGCAACUUCCAGUGAGACAGGUACUUCUAGGGUACCCCUUAGACACGAUAGAAGGAUUGCUGUUUGAAAAGCACCCUGUGACCCACCUCAGCCUGGAGCCCUUCACCCAGUGUGCCUGGAUUAUUUAUCUCCCAAAUUCCUGAAGAGAUCCAGCUGAUGUCAUCCUCUGAGCUGCUGUGAAGGGUGAGAUAAAGUUUAUAUGUAGUCUAUCCUGAGACUUAGACUAUGGGAGAUUU
rnacentral:lncRNA from 14 species